UUGAAAUAAAACUGACCUAAGACAGCAGGGGAGCGUGCUCAUAAUAAUCCUGCCGAGGCACAAAACGUCAUUAAAAAGAACGUAUUGUACUUUCGUGUCUAGGUUUGGAUGCGUUUUUUUAUUGA
rnacentral:sRNA from 1 species